UUUUAUUAUCCUGAUCGCCGCUUCUCGAAACACUUUCACUGCUUUCUGCUUACACUGAGCUCGUAAAGAUGGAUGGCUGAUCCGGACAGCUAUGGGACAGGGGUAUAGGGAGGCGAUACUGGUGGCUGCCUCUUGCUGGAAUCCCAUGUAAUGGUGAUGGUAUGUACCCCAAACCUCGGGGCAUGUUCCUUUCCUUCAGUUUGGGCUUUUGCACCUUCUCUUCACCCGUGAGGGUGCUUCGGGGUCGGGUUGCCGUUUUUGUCAGUCGCUGUAGAAACGUGGAUACAACCCUUGCUUUUCGCCACUGGGACCCGGCUGUACGUGGAUGCCAAGGAACCAAAAAUUUCGGUCCUGUCGUUACUUCUCCCAUCAGUUUCUACUGAUGGGAGAAGUAAUGAUGAAUUCGAUGUCUGUGUGGCAACCGGGGGAAUUCAGAGGGACCAAGAGAUGACUGUGCGCACGACUGGAAAUGAGACCAAGGUUAAGACAAGCGAAGGAGCGAUGUACAGCUUGGGAAAUGCCAACUACUUCGCAGCAUUUGGCAGGAAUAUUACGACAUGUGAACUGGGAGCUCAGCAAGAACACAGAGAAAAGUCAGAGGAUUCUGCCGAGAGCAGCACACAAGACUCGAGCAAACCCAGUCCACCUCCAUGCACUGAAGUUGACGAAUCUAAUACUCAUACAACUCAUACAAAUGACGGCCCCAAGGUGAAUUUUCGGACGCUGACGAUAAACAGCAUUAGGGUCCUGCUUGCCAAAGCAGUGGCCUUUGACAUCCUGGUGACAGUGAAGGCCAUGUUCUUUUAGAGAGGCGUCCAUGCUGUGCUUAAUCCACCAGGAUCUUCUAUCGAUAUGUUAGCUUUUCCCCACUUAGAUGCUUUUCUGUGUACAUUUAAUUGAUUUUCAUAGAAAGUGUUUAAUUGUUCAGCAUAGAUUGUGUUGCAUAUGUAUAGUAUAAACUGGAUUAAACUGGAUUAAACUGGAUUAAGGAAAUAAUUAUUUUACUGAGUUAAUAAGGGAGCUUUUUUGUGUAUUUUCAUAUUAUUAGCUUAUAAUUAAAGACAAUACGUGUUAUUUAAUGUAUAUUUGUGUUGCAGAACUGUUAUUAUUCUGUAAUUAGUUAUAUAAAAGUGUUUUUAGUUGACUGCUUUCUCUAAAAAAUAGCAACAAAGAGAAAAGUGCCAUAGGCCUAAAGCAUAGUUGUGAAAAGGGAGUCAUAUCUGGUGUGAUGUAUGAAAUAAAAUUAGUUUCAAAAACC